AGAUAUAAUCCAUUGCGAGGUCUUUAUAGGCGCCUUCAGCUCGGGGGAGCCUGUUUGCAUUUGGCGGGGAAGACUGUACUCUAGUUAAAAUCUGUGCCAUAAUCUUUGGUGGGGAGAGAGGACAACGUUUCCUUGCUUGAACAGAUUAGCUCAUGCUAUUCUUCCUGAAGCCAUGCGACUUUUUUUCCCCUCCUCUCCUCCCAACCUCUUGUUUUUUAAACCAAAAUGAAGAGUUUGCGGAAUAUUUUAUGAAUCUGCGAUUUAGCAUAGGGCAAGUGGAAAAUUUUGGACAGAAAUGUAUAAAGCUUGAUGUGAAGGCUGAACCAGACAAUGAAAAGCCAAAAUGAUGUCUUUGCCACUGCAACUGAUAAGCUGUAACACAGAGCUGUGAAUUGGUGUGAAAGAGAAAUUUUCUUUAAUAGUUUAAUUUUUUAUUUUUUAAUAUUGUCUCUGAUAAAGCUUACUUUUCAGUUUA